rnacentral:rRNA from 1 species
CACGUAGGGGGCGAGCGUUGUCCGGAUUUAUUGGGCGUAAAGAGCUCGUAGGCGGCUCGGUAAGUCAGGUGUGAAAACUCUAGGCUCAACCUAGAGACGCCACCUGAUACUGCUGUGGCUAGAGUCCGGUAGGGGAGCAUGGAAUUCCUGGUGUAGCGGUGAAAUGCGCAGAUAUCAGGAGGAACACCGAUGGCGAAGGCAGGUCUCUGGGCCGAUAACUGACG